UUUCUAUACAAAUUAUUUACAAAGUCGCGCCAAGGCACGGUUUGAAAUAUUUCUCCGCGGAGUGAAACAUUUCAUUAUGUCGGAGUUGCACUGCUCUAACCAACUCUACAUGCGCAUUUUGUGAUAACGUUAUCAUUUUCAUCUGUGUAUGUGAUCAUUUCGCUGAACCGAGCUGUCAAGACCUGUCAAACUAUUCUGCUAUUGCAAAACGUGGUGAUGUGGCUUGAUGGGGUUUUAGCUAGAAUCAGGAUAAGUGCGCAAUCUGGCACAGGUAUGCUGGAAAUAUUGGCAGCUAACAUGGCGAUUCGACAAUCUUCGCGGGUGUUACGAAACAGAACGUCAAAUUUCCGUUUCUCAUCCCACGGACACGAAAGACUACGGAAGAUCCGGACCAUAUCUAAAUAGUAGUCCUGGAAUUUCUCCCUGGCACCCUGUUUCCUACUAUUAGCAUGCCGUUCGUACACGUAAUCGAUAUCAACGGGCGAUGUCAGAGUCUUCUCUCCAACUGACUACGUGGAGCAUCCAGGUUUAUGUUGCGAAUUUGAAGUUCGUGUUCAAGCUCAUCCACCGCUAAGUGGGCUGUAUUCAUCGCAUGAUACUGCGCUGCUAAAUGAGAGUGUUCCAUCGCUAC